rnacentral:tRNA from 1 species
GCCGACGUGGGACAAUGGCACUCCGCCUGCCUUGAGAGCAGGUUCCCGCAAGGGUCUCUAGGUUCGAUUCCUGGCGUCGGCG